rnacentral:rRNA from 1 species
GAUGAACGCUGGUGGCGUGCCUAACACAUGCAAGUCGAGCGAUUCUCUUCGGAGAAGAGCGGCGGACGGGUGAGUAACGCGUGGGUAACCUGCCCUGUACACACGGAUAACAUACCGAAAGGUAUGCUAAUACGAGAUAACAUGCUUUUAUCGCAUGGUAGAAGUUUCAAAGCUUUUGCGGUACAGGAUGGACCCGCGUCUGAUUAGCUAGUUGGUGAGGUAACGGCUCACCAAGGCGACGAUCAGUAGCCGACCUGAGAGGGUGAUCGGCCACAUUGGAACUGAGACACGGUCCAAACUCCUACGGGAGGCAGCAGUGGGGAAUAUUGCACAAUGGGCGAAAGCCUGAUGCAGCAACGCCGCGUGAGCGAUGAAGGCCUUCGGGUCGUAAAGCUCUGUCCUCAAGGAAGAUAAUGACGGUACUUGAGGAGGAAGCCCCGGCUAACUACGUG